UUGUGUCUGAGGCAUGCGCAGUGCCGAUGAUGGCGGACGAGCUCAGUGGCUGAGAGAACUGGAACGGGUGGAUUUACAGACAGGAACCUCAAACUGAACAUCACAGCAUGAUCUGACAGUCACUCAAUUCACCAGGACCUGAAUAUCAUCAGCCUUUCAAUGUGAAAGGAGAAAUAUUUCUCUCCUGUCUGUGGGAAAAUAUUUCAGUGAGACUGGAAAAGCACUUUGACACACAGCCGAGUGAGAGCAUUCUAGUGCAUUGACUGUGGAAAGAACUUUAACCAGUUACACAGCCUGAAAAAACACCACCCCAUUUACAGCGGGGAGAAACCAUACACGUCUUCUGUGUGUGGACAAGGUUCAACUGAUUAUCCAACCUGGAGAGACACAAAGACACCAGCACCAUGGAGAAACCGUGGAAAUGUGAGGACUGUGGUAAAGGAUUCAAUUCUUCACCCCGGCUGGAAAUCCAUCGAUGCAUUCACACAGGGGAGAAGCCGUUCAGCUGUUCCGUGUGUGGGAAGGGAUUCACUCGGUCAUCUGGCCUUCGGUCACACCAGCGAGUUCACACUGAGAAAAAGCCAUUCAGCUGCACAACCUGUGGACACAAUUUCAAAUCUUCAUCCAUUCUCACUGAACACCAGCGAAUUCACACGGGUGGGAGACCAUUCACUUGCUUCGUGUGUGGGAAGGGAUUCACUCAAGUAUUCGCCCUUCAGUCACACCACCAAAUGCACACGAAGGAGAAUCCAUUCAGCUGUACUUCCUGUGGAAAGAGCUUCCGGCAAUCAAUCGACCUCAAUGAACACCAACGCACUCACACUGGGGAGAAGCCGUUCACCUGCUCCAUGUGCGGGAAGGGAUUCCCUUGGUCAUCCCAACUGCUGACACAUCAGCAAGUUCACACCGGGGGGAGACCAUUCACCUGCUCCUUGUGUGGGGCGGGAUUCACUCAGUCACAACACCUGCUUAGACACGAGCGGGUUCACAAGUGACUGCAGUGAUUGGAUUCUGCUGUUAUUGCUGCAGUUAAUCACAUCCAGGACUGAUAGUCUGACAAUAUUAGAUUUGUUUCUGCUGGUGUUAACAACCCUAUAGCUGACUGCAAUUUAAUAUUCUGGAGAUGUCACUGAUAUUUGGAGCUGCAAUGUCCCUUUUUAAAAGUGCUAUUUGUGACUUUUCCCAUUAAUACAAGAACUCUCAACAGGAACAAGUUUACUCUAAAAUAAUGAACAUUUACUUGAAUCCGAAAUUGAUCUUUGGUGCAAAAUCUACAGUUCAGUGUCAGAAAACUUCCACUAUUUACAUCUCCAAGUAGAAAGUGCUGAUUAAUCCUUGCCGACAGUUCUUAUUGACUUCCACAUUCUUCACAAUGAAACCUCCAUUAUGAAAUCAUCAAGGAACAUGAAACAAAACAGUAAAAUAUUUUACAGGCACAUCAAUAAAAGCUUCAUCAAUCAACAUUGAUAUUGAUGAAGCUUGGAAGUCGCUGAGUUCAAUUGUUUCUGACACAGCAGCAGCAACAUUUGGUAAAGGUGGAACCCAUAACAAAGACUGGUUUGAGACCUCAGCAGAGAUGACAUCUAAAGCAAAAAGCAAAGCCCACCUAAUGCACAACAAAAACCCAAUAGCCAAGUGCUGUGUGCAGUUCCAGUCACCAUGUUAUAUAAAGGAUAGAGAGGCACUGGAGAGGGUACAGAGAAAAAUUAACAAAAAUGAUACCAGAAAUGCAUAAUAUAGUUUGUGUGGGUUUACUUUUCAGAUAAGGACGAACAAACUGGGUCUCUUGAAAAAAGACAUUGAGGGCUGAACUAAUCGAGGUCUUAAAAAUAAUGAAAGGUUUUGAUAGAGAGGAUACAGAAAGAAUGUUUCCUCUUGUGGGGAAGAGUAAAACUAGAGACCAUCAGUAUAAGAUAGUUUCCAAGAAAUCCAAGAGAAUUCAGAAAAAAAACGUCUUUAACCUAGAGAGUGGUGAGAAUGUGGAACUCUCUACCAUUUGGGGGUGGGUGAAGUGAAUGGUAUCAAUGUAUUUAUGGAGAGGCCAGACAAUCAUAUGAGGGAGAAGGGAAUAUCAGGUUAGGAUAAUAGAUUUGGAAGUGGAAAGAUGGGAGGAGGCUCGAGUGGAACAUAAAUGCUGACAUAGACUGAUUGGGCCGAAUGGCCUGUUACUGUCCUGUAUAUCCUAGGUAAGGCUUCAACUGAUCAUCCAACCUGGAGAGACACAAGGACACACACAGCAUGGAGAAACAGUGGAAACGUGGGGACUUUGGGAAGGGAAUCAGUUCUCCAUCCCAGCUGGAAACUCAUCAGCUUAGUCACACUGGGGAGAAGCCCUUCACCUGCACUAUUUGUGGGAAGGGAUUCACCAAAUCAUCCAGCAUUCACAGUGAGGAGAAACCUUAAAACUUAGUGUGUGUGUGGGAAAAGAUUCACUCAGUCAUCCAGUCUCUGGAUACAGUCUGUAAGAAUUCUGUUCUUUCUUUGUCUAUGUAUUAAUAUAGUCUGUAGGAGUUAUGUUCUUUCUUUGCCUGUGUGUUGAUCUGUAGGGCAGAAUCUGUGGAGGUGAUGCCAUGAUUUGAACCGGCUUGUCCUAGUUUAGAACUGAGAGAUGAUGGAAGUGUAGAAGUUCUAUGUAAUCACAGAGGAAUGUGUGUGCUCUCAACAACAGGCGAACGCUGUUCAGAUGAACACACCUGUGAUUGGACAAGAGCCACAUGAUUGUGCAGUGAAAUGUCCAUGGACAGUUCUGAUUGGUAGCCUCAGGGGAGCCAGUUGGGUGGGUUUCCAGCAUAAGAACAGUCCGCCUGAGGGGUUUGGUGCAGUGGAGAAAAGAACAAAGGAAAGAAGGUAAAGAAAUGAAAAAGAAGCAAGAAAGCUGGAAAUUCCACAAGAAAACCAGAAGCUACGGGGAAAAAAAUGCGGUCUGCUGUCCAGAUACAACAUGGGAAGUGUAGAGCUCACAUUCUGUAAAUCACUGCCUGAACUUUUUGUCUAGAAGUUUGUCCUGCCUUUCUCUUAAUAAAGUUGCUCCAUAACUGAA